GCGUCGAUAGUGCAACGAUCCAGCAUGCGCUUCUGGAAAUGAGUGAGGUCUGGGUUCGAAUCGCGGCUGACGCC